CCUCUCCCAUGAAUUGUUAAUCCAUGAGGCCUCUCCCUCUCAAACUCCUCUCUCUCCUCUCUCUCCUCCUCUUCCUCCUCGUCCUCGUCUCUUAUCCCUCGCCUCUCGCCCUAAUUCGCUCCUCCGCGCCUCCCAAACUGCCCUUCCGCUCCUCCGACCUCCUCCCGCUCCUUCCAUGGCGCCUCGCGCGGCCGAUCCUCGGAUCCCUCCGCAGCGCCAUCGACCUCCUCCCCGCCUUCGUCGGCGCCGCCUCCUCCCCCGGCGACUCCGUCGAGUGGAAGGGCGCGUGCUUCUACGAGAACAGGGCGUGGUUGGAGUACCACAACGAGAGCGGAUCCCCAUUCGGGGGCGGCACACUCCAUAUCAAGGUUAGGUUGGGGAUUUGGGUAGUUUUGCAUUGUGGGUCUAGGCAAAACCCCACCUUUUGGAGUUCUUUUUUAAAAGAUUAUUGAUUCAAAUUUGGACCUCUUUAGGGUUUUGAGUGAUUUAAUUUGGUAACUAAUUGGAUUAUUAGAUUUUUCUAGCAUAAAAUAGGGUAAGGAGAGCUAAUAAUGUGUUUCUUUUUGACUUUCUCUAAUUUCUGUAGUAGUGAGCAUGCAUAAACAAUUAUUCUGUCCCUGUUUGUAAGAUAGAAUGGAAAUGAGGAUGUAUUCCGUGGAGAAAUGAGGCUUAUUGACAAUUUGAGUUCUACUUAGUUAUGCAACCGAAAUGCUUUUGUUGUUGUUCAGUUGACCAUACAUAAAUAUUGCUUCAAUCAAUAAUGUGGUAAUUUUUCUUAUUUAUGCAGACAAGCAAUGCUCAUAGUUGGACAUGCAUGGAUCUUUAUGUCUUUGCAACUCCGUACCGCGUGACAUGGGAUUACUACUUUCUGUCGCGAGAACAUACCCUUGAUUUCAAAGAGUGGGAGGGGGAAGCUGAGUAUGAAUAUGUAAGUUGCUAGAGUAAUUCUUAUGGAUUAGCUUAGCCAAGGAUUUAAGUGCCCAUAAAUCACGGGCCGUAUCUACCGUGCCGUAUCGUGCCGACAAGAUAUUGGCAUAAUAUAGCCCCUGUGCCGGUGGCACAGCUCAAAACGCUCUAUUCUUUGAAUUAGUAAGUAAUUUUCUCAAUAAAGUUCAAAAGUUUUGAUAAAAAUACAUAAUAAACAGUUAGAAUAUUUUGUUGCUAAAGAAAAUAAAUAUUUUAUGCUAUUAUGUGUCGGCAUACAUGAAUUUUUGUGACCGGCACGCAUCGGCACGGUGCAUGCUUGGCUCGGCCCAACACGCACCGUGCCGUACUAUGUGUCGACAAGUUUUCAGCAUGACCCUAUGCUACGGCAUUUAAAUCCUUGAGCUUAGCUGCUUCGAAGGUAGUAAGGACUAGCCUCCAGAAAUGAGCUUUGGGGCCCUACAAGUAGGACUCUAAUCGGAAGGUUCUGCUUUUACUAUAGCAAGAAACUGCUGGGGAGAGUUUGAAAAAGCAAUUAGUGCUUCUUCGAACAACUAUACUCGAGCAACACUUCGGAAGAAGCUUCAGCCAAUUCAUACAGGCACUAGAAUGCAUUCCAUUUGAUGUCUGCUUAUGUAUUGCAUUUUCUCUAUUCGCAGAGUGAAAGGCGUAUCUACCUAGGCCUUGUUUGGCCCAAAUGUAGCUCCCUCGAAGAACAAGUAGAUUUUUUUUAAUAAUUAAAAUCUCUUUUAGAGUUUCCUGCUGCAGUGGAACUUCUGCUUUUGGGCUCUAAAAGAUUGUUUUACUAUAGCAAAAUUUACAAUAUAUAUGUUGGCCUAACGCCUUGUUUUUGAAGCUUCUACUCGCUAGAGUGGAGUUGUUCAAGAAGCCAUGUUAAACAGGCUCUAAGAUGCAUGGUUCUCGUUAAAUAUGCUCCUCUUUUUCAUUUCAAUAUCAGGUAAAACAUAAUGGAGUAUCGAUCUUCCUCAUGCCAUCUGGGAUGAUCGGCACCCUACGUGCUCUGGUGGACAUUUUCCCUUUGUUUACAAAUACUCAAUGGGGUGAAAAUAAGAAUCUUGCUUUCCUUAAAAAACAUAUGGGGGCGACAUUUGAGGAAAGACCGCAACCAUGGGUUUCAGAGAUAAAUGCCGACGAUCUUCACUCUGGGGACUUUUUAGCUCUAUCGAAAAUUCGUGGGCGGUGGGGUGGUUUUGAAACCCUAGAGAAGUGGGUCACUGGAGCUUAUGCUGGGCACACUGCUGUUUGCCUUAGGGAUGCUGAAGGAAAGCUUUGGGUCGCAGAGUCUGGCCAUGAGAAUGAGAAGGUUAGAUAUUGUCAUAUAUGCAGUUAACUAUAUAUUUUUUUUAAUGUAUGUUUUAGCAAUAUGCAUAUUUAAUUUCUGUUUUCUGGUUCUAUUAUCUUCUAACCUCUUUAAAUUGUAUGCUGAUCAACCAACAUACUCUUUUUUGGUGAUGGAGAAGUUCUUGAAAUUCGAGUAUUUUUAUCAUGGUAGAGGAAUGGACUGUAGAAGAAUUUCCAAGAUUGAUGAAUAUGCUAUGUAGAAGUACUUGUUUGUGGCCGUUAUAUGUAUUGAUCUUAAGUGACAAAUUUCUUGUAAUUUUAUUUUUAUAUGUACAACUAGCCCACUUAAGCUAGUAUGCUAAUCUCUUUUAUGAAACUAAUCUAGUUUAGAUACACGUUGAUUGUGUAAUUUCAUCAAUUGUUGCCAUUUCUUGAACUUAUUCAUGAUAGCAAGUUAUUCAAGCCGACUGCUCUAUUUGGACUUAUCAAUACUAUUAUACUGUGCCUACAAAGGAAAAGAUGUGCUGUAUUAGAAGCGGCGAUAUCACGUAAUAUUGGAAUUAACAGUAUUGAUUAUGAUUUAAUGAUGCCUGAACAUCCAAUGCUUGAAGCUACAUGCUUCAGUUAUGUGAUAAUGUCUUGUUAGGGUUUUUUAAUAUAUAUCGUGUCUAUUCAAAUAUUAUGCAUUAAAAGUGAAUUUAAUAGAAAACUUAAGUUGCGGAGUCAUCUGAUUCAUGGGGAAAUGUGUUUUAUAAUGGAAAGUUUUUGAAGGGGCAUUAUUUUAAUAUAAAAUCAUUCUAGAGUACAGUGCAUGCAUCCGCAUAUGCACUUGCAUAUGUGACUGUGGUCACUUGACUGCUCUGCAGCAACUACAUCCGCAUAUAGCGCAGGUGCUAUAUAAUGAAUAUGUAUAUAAGAUGCAUCUUGUACUGCAUUUUAAGUAAAUAUAAGUAGAUUUAGCGUGAUAUGACUAUUAUUAGGUGUUCAAACACUAUUUAAAUCAAUAUAAAUAAAAUUUUGGAUUUAUGUUGAUUAUUGUAUAUUUUAUACUUGGAAUAUUCUUCUUAAAUAAAUUAUUUGAAACUUUGACAUGUAUGUCAGAAUGUUAGACAAUCUACUUAAGAAAGUUAUCAAGAUAUGUAAAUUUUGUUUAUUCUUUUUAUUAUUCCAUGUUUUCUUUUUGUUUAUCAGAUAUUCUACCAUUUUCAUCAUAUUCAUUUUAUUUAUUAUAUCAUCUUUACAUGAAUUACACGUUCACUCGCAUAUAUAUCUUCCUGCCAUAGAUGUGCAAUGCGAUAAGAAAAUAAGACUUUGAAUGGUACAUAGGAAUUUUAGAUUUUGCAGCGAUAUAUAAGUGGAAGAAUUGCACGGGUGCAUAUGUAAAUAUCUCUAUCUUGUUAUGUAUGUUAGUUAUUCUGGUGAUAGGAAUCCUAAAUUAUGCUAUACUUUUGCAGGGAGAAGAUGUUAUUGCAAUUCUGCCUUGGGAGGAGUGGUGGGACUUUGAGGUGAACAAAGAUGACUCAAACCCUCAUAUCGCGUUGCUUCCUCUGCAUCCUGAUAUGCGGGCCAAAUUCAACGAAACUGCCGCUUGGGAGUAUGCAAAUAGCAUGUCAGGGUUGCCUUACGGCUAUCAUAAUAUGAUCUUUAGUUGGAUUGAUACCAUAAGUGGGAACUACCCACCACCCUUAGAUGCACAUGUGGUAUGAUGUUAUCUUCUAUACCUUUCUUUUGUUUCAUUGCUUACAUUUGAAGCUAUGUUCUUGAAUCUUAAAAUGUACUGCCUGCUUCUGUUGCUUGGCUCCUUUAGUAGCUUUUCUACUUUGACAAGUAGAAGUGAGAUGUUUGGCAAACAGAAACUUUGAGGCUUUUGCUACGCUUGGAAGAUGACUUAACUUUCAAAGCAGAGGCUCCAAUGGAACUUUUGCUUCUGUCGUACUGGAAGUUGUCAGGGGGAUUUUAAUGAAGCUGUUGGUGCUUCUCCAAAUAGAUCUACUCAAAUAGUACUUUUAAAGAAUCUCUAGUUGUGCCAAACAGACCCUAUAUGUUAUAUCUUCUGAGGUUGAAAUUCUCAAUCUUUUCCUGUUGUUAAUAACCCUUUGAUUUCUACAAAUCAUUAAAUUGAAAUUUCUAAUCAAUUGACAUUGCUGAUAAAAUAAAUUUGAAGUUCUUGUUUGGAAAUAUUUUCAUUUCUUUUAGAGUUCUCAGGAUAAGAGUACUACUAUUAUAAUUAUAUCAAAUAAUAUGUUAUUUAUAGUUCUCAUUGUGUGGUUUAGGUUGCCUCUUUUAUGACCAUGUGGACUAAGCUCCAGCCAGCUUAUGCUGGUAAUAUGUGGAAUGAAGCCCUGAACAAACGACUUGGAACUGAGGUUUGACUGUUUCUAUUUGCAGUUUAUUUUCUGUUUAAAGAAUCUCUAGCAAAGUGCAUGUUGCACAUAAAUAUAGGACCAAAAUUUUAUUUUGGAAAACAUAAGUUAUGUUGAAAGGACCCAUGAUAUAUAAAGUAAAGCUGCAAUAAAAUAUUCAUUACAAGCAAAUAUAGCUAGAAAAUUCAUGAUUUUGGUAUUCAAAUUUUUGUUAUAUUAAAUAGCUCUAUUAAUUGUCAGUCAUCAAUAUUUUCAAUUUUAUUUUUAAAAAGUGAUUAAACUAUUUAAUUCGCUUUAAUCAUUGAUGAAUUUGAUAAAAUCCCUAAUUUAUUUGAUUAAAAUUUUAUUCAUUAAAGAAAAAAUCCCCAAAGUUAAGGAAGUGCCAAGAAAAGAGAAAAAGUUUGAAGGGGCAGUUUUAAAAUCACCUAUACGGGUUCUCCAUAUGUUUUUACCUAAAUCAUACCAACUUAGUUCCUAAUUCUAAAUUCUAAAUAAAGAACUCCACAAAUAAGAUAUGAAGUGUAUCUUCUCAAGUCCAGCAGUAUUUGGUUAUACAUAAAAGAGGUCCUACUAUAUGUUUUCUUACUGAUAAUGGAUCAUUUUAUAACACUAACAGAGUCCUACAUUUUGAUAUGACAUGAUGAUUACCUUUUUGAAAUUCAUAAUUGAAGUCUGCUUUUGUAAUUUUCUAGAAUGAAACGGGUUAUAAUAAUAUUAGUUUAUAUAACCUACUCUUUUUUCUGUUUGGUGGAACUUGUACAUUAUGUCUUUUUUGAGGAAAAUUUUGAUAAUACGGUUUAUUUUAUAAUGGUAGCGGAGGUCUAUUUUGUUACAAAAUUUGUAUUAGCGACCAUACCUACUCUUUUUUCUGUCUGGUGGAACUUGUACAUUGUCUUUUUUGAGGAAAAUUUUGAUAAUACGGUUUAUUUUAUAAUGGAAGUGGAGGUCUAUUUUAUAAUGGCAGUGGAGGUCUAUUUUGCUACAAAAUUUGUAUUAGCGACCAUAUCCGAUAACCUAGACAUUUUUGUUUUACUUGAAGUAGAGAAUGCCAAUUUCAGAACUACUACCGAGUAUUUCUGUACUUUGAUUUCUAUAUCAUAAGAUCUUUCAUACUUGUUUCACCGUUAGUCUACUGAUUAUAACACCAUGCACUGAAUAUGCUGUAAUUUUAAGAUUUGUCUAAAUGAAUAUCUUGCAGGGUCUUGAUCUAGCUGAAAUCAUGGUUGAAUCAGAAAAGCAAGGGAUAUCAUUUGAGAAGUUGCUGACUAUCCCUGAACAGGAUGAUUGGGUUUACAUCGAUGGAAAAUCGACAUCUUGUGUCGUGUUCAUUCUUGGAAUGUACAAGGAGGCUGGACUUUUUGAACCAUAUUCCAGUUCCAUACAAGUCAGUGAAUUCACUGUAAGUUAACAAAUUCCCUUCUUACUUUUUUUCUAAUUUUGACAUCUAAUAUAUGUAUGGCUACAGUUGAUCCUUUUAUGAUGGACGAUAAAUUUUGAAUUUGCCCUUGAAUGUUGUAAUUACUUUGUCUGAUCUAAUUUAUGCAACCAUUUCCUGAACAGUGGGACAAAUUUGAGUCUAGUUAUGUUAUUUUUUAGAUAUAUUAAUCUACUUUUAAUUGAAUAUGUAUUUUAUUUUAUUUUGUAAAAUUUUAAAUGGAUUUUGUAAUAAUUUUAUUUGUUGUUCGAACAGUCGAAAAUUAAGAUUGUGACUUGAUACCAUUUCCUUAUGGUUUAUCAAUGACUUAUUAUCUAGAUGCAUUAUGGACGUAGGGUACAAUGCCCUCUACUUAUAUUGUGAUUUCGUCUCUAAACUUUUUCCUCGAACACUAAUGUAUCUUAUGUGAUUUUAUUCGGAAUUGGUAUGUUUCUUUCAAGAUCUUCUAUGGCUGUGAUUAUUUGUGAACGUGCUCUAGUUUGAUGUUAGAUCCUUGACAUGUUUGAUCCUUUUGCAGAUAAAAGAUGCAUACUCUCUCAACUUUUUCGAAGACAACACAACCCGCUUGCCUGAAUGGUGCAACAAAGACGAUACUGUGAAGCUCCCCUUUUGUCAAAUUAAGGGAAGGUAUCGGAUGGAAUUUCCAGACUACAAUAUAAUGCAGCCAUACCCUCACAUGAAUGAAAAGUGCCCCUCCCUACCGCCAAAUUAUGUGAGAUCUAACUAUUGCUGAAACUGCUACUCUUCGGAAACCUAUCUACUACUUUCUUAGUAAAAUUGCAGGGACCUCCCUACAAAUAUUGUGAAUCUCAUUUUGCCUCCUGAAAUAUCAAUAUCAACUCAUAUUACCUCCUUAUAUUACAAUAUGUCAUUUCAGCGUUCUGUUAAGUGAGAUCUAUCACGUUGCUUAUAAGUCAGUGCGGUAAAAUAUUGGGUUUUCAAAAUUCAGGGGCACUAUAUUAAAAUCACAAUGGUUGUAGGGGAGUUUCCUUUACUAGAGGUAUAUCCAUUCUUCAGAUAGUUGUAUAUAAUGUAUGAGAUAGGCAGAGAGCUAGUCCAUUGCUGUAGGGCGCAAGUAUUGUAUAAAUAAGUUUGGGUGCCAAAGUAGGACUGAACUACCUGUAAAUUGUUGAAAACUAUAUAUAUAUAUAUAUAUAUAUAUAUAUAUAUGAAUUAACGAAUACGUAUUUUAAGUUGUAUUUCUGUUGGUUAGUAAACUGCUUAUAUCAGUGCUCCUUCCUAGUUAUAAGCUUGACUCAUUUGUAUGUUGUUGAUCUUUAUGUGGUUGUGCUAUUUCUUUGAUUCUGAAAUGUGUUGAGUGGCCCUUAAUCUCAUGUUUGCUGGAUUAUUUGCUCAUCCUGUUAGUUCUACAACUUUAUUUCUGUAGGAUGUUCAAUACCAAAUAAUUGUACAUAUCCUAUUAUCUGCUAAUUCUAAUCCCUGCCUGGUGCUGUAUAUGAUUCUGUAAUUUGUUGGCUCCAUGCUAUUAUUGCAAUUUUCUAAAUGCAUUUAAAUAGAAAUUCCCGACCCCUUCUUUUCACCGAGGGAGUGUUUGUCUCAGUAAAUUGCAAUUUGGCCAUAUGUCAAGUGACUAGAAAUGUUAGUCUUGCCGUCCAUCAUGAAGAUGUUAGUCUUUUGCCAUCCAUCAUGGGGUUUAAAUUCUUGAGAGCAAAUUUUCUUUGAAAUUGAUCUGUAGCCAUAUUUUGUUUAAAAAAAAACAGAGAGAGAGAAAAUCUAGUCUACAGUUGGAAGGUGAAUCUUUUUGGCAUUAUGUUAGUUGAUAGCAAGACUAACAUUUUUAUUCUCACCAAAUUUGAUUUUCAAUCGAUUUACAAUUACGUCAAUCCAAAUGCCUUCUAAAUUGCUUUGGCUCUCUCUCUUUUUGGUGGACUUAAAAUUUUCCGGCCUGUAAAAUUUUUCGGUUAUAAAUCAAAUAGCCUUCAUAGUGCUACAAUUUUAUGCUUCUUGUUGUAUCUUCUUUGCCAGUCUGUACAUAUUACAUUUCUAGGGUGAGGAUUUUGUGAGAUGUGGUAUCUGACUGGAACAAGUGCUCUGUUCCUGAAGUUUCUGCUCAGUAUAUGAUGAAUGAACAUUCUGGUGUUUUCUACUGUGCUGAAAAGCUAAAAUGAGUGUGUGUGUGUUUUUUUUUUUUUUUUUUUUUUUUUUUCAACUUAUGGUGGGGAGUUGUUGGAGAAAAUUUAAAAUGAAAAAAGAAGCCUACUAGUGCAUCUUUGAGGGAGUUAAUAUUUUUUAUAAUUUUAUGCACAAGAGUUUGGUGCAUACCUGGUUAUCUUUGUAGUGUGAUAACUUAUGUGAAAUUUUUACUCACGGCUGUAGAGGAUCAUGCCUCAGUUGUCAAUCAAAACCAUAAUAAAGGGCAAGUACUCGUAAAUGAUCCUUACCAAAGAUUUGGAAAUAGUGGUGUUUAUGCAAGUUUGAUCCUACCAAUGAUAAGAUCAUCUUUAUAACAACUUUUCAAAUAUGGCUUUUGAAAUAGCUUCUCUACUCAAUAAAAGGAUGCCAUGAAUUGAAGUGUUCAAGAUUCUUGCUAGCGUGGGAAGCUGAAUUUAACUUGUGAAUAUUCAAAACAAAAGAGAAUUCAAUUCUCCUUGUCAUAUAUUGUGAGGUCAAGGUAAAAUUACUGGGAAAAUUUACUUCGGAAGUUAGCAAAAUCUUCUUUCAACAAUUCUACUGAAUUAACACUCCCGCAGAAGCUCCAGUGGACCUUGAAGAGAUAACUCGUUGUUACCCUUGCUAGAUUUAGAUUUUGACAUUUUUUACACCUAAUAUUAUGGCAAAUUAUCAUGUAUAUAAGUCCAAAAUUCAGAGCUGAUGAAAAAUAGUUCAGAACAGAUUCAGCUUAUCAGAAUCAACAUAAACAGAACAUGUGCUUAUCCAGCAUAGGGAGCUCAUCCAGCGACAUUAAAUAAAUAUGACGAUUCAGCCCACUGCAGCAUUUUCUUUUAUUACUACGUAAAUACUGAUAGGUCGAGUUAAUACUCGACGAUGCUAUGUGAGGCCCGUAAAAGGCGGUAGAGAGUGCAGUUCGGUGCGAUGUAGAACACGUCGCUGGUGUUGAGUUGGGCGUCAGGCCGGAGCACCAGGCGUGGGUUCUUGAACACCCGGGGAUCCGCGACAGAGUGCCUCGGAUUCCGUGCAAUCACCUACGCCGCCGCCAUGGGACGGCGGUGGACCUCUACAAAGCCACCCGGGUGUACCAACUUGAGGACACCGCACUCGCGCCCCGCGACGCCCAUAAUGCUGGUAUAAAGGUGUGGUUAUGCACUCCCCCACCCCCUCAAAGACUCCUCAAUACUGAGCUCAAGAAGCAAUGAGGAGUGGAGUGCAUGGAGGGGCCAAACCUAGCUACUGGCCUUUUUAUAGCCAAUUGUGUAGAUUAAUUAUAUCAAGGGUGUGUUAAAUGAGUCAUAGAAAAGGAAUGAUUUUGAUUUGCUUUGAUUUCAUCCAGUUCAUUGUUUUUCUUGUAGAUUAUUAUGGCAUUUAAUUCCUAUUAUUAUUUUUUCUUUUUGCUUUUGUUUUUUCCUUACACCCCAAGAUUCUAUUUUUGGGCCUUAUUGGUGAAAUCCUGAUUUUUUUUCUUUUUUCUUUUUAAAUUUAUUGAGUGGACAACCGCUUCUUAUCUAAGUUUUCUUUUUUUUCUUUUUUUCUUUUUUUUGAGCGAUAGAUAGCAUACUACCAGCUUCGUUUAUUUCAUUUAGAAAUAAACUUAGCUGAAAAUGUGAAUCAACUAGGAUUCGAACUUGGGUCUCGGAUACCAACCAUCAAGUCCUUUGCCACUUGCUCUAGGGACGAUCAGUUAUCUGAGUUUUCUUGAAGUGUAUUGUUAUUGCUCGAUGUUUCAAUUGGUUAUGUUGAAAGAAUCCUACAUAACCUAGAUUCCAUCAAUAUUUUUGUCUUUCUUGUAGGUAAUGGGAUUCUAUUUCCAAUUAGAUUGUAUAUUCUUGUUGGGAUGUGAAAUGUAAAUAUUGUACUUAUUUUUAUAUACAUGUACUUUUGAAUACCGUUUAGUUGUCUAUAAGUAACCCAAUGAAAAUUUAUUAGUAAUUUUUUAUGGGCUUUUACUUAUUUACUCCUAACUAUUAUCGAAAUUUUCAGAAAUUAUGAAAAUCAAUAAACAUAUUUUGGUUAACCAGCUCUAUAUAUAUAUUAGAUAUUUUUAAAAUUUUAAAAGAUAUAUUCGAUAUUAUCCCCUGCUUUUUUUAAUUAUUGGUUUUUUGUUCUUGAAAUACCAGUUUCGCUCUAUUCCUUUUGAAAUCCUCAUAAUUAUUAUUUUAAAUGAUGAUUCCUUUUUCUAGGAAAGCAGUUUUAUCAUAUUACCCACGAAAUUUCUUAGAGCCCGUACAAAUAUUUUUGUGUACUUCCUAUCAACUAAUUAUUGUUGGAGAAUAUGAAUAAAAAUCAAGUAAAUUAUAAUUUUGAGGUGUAUAAAUUCACUUUUUUAAAGUGAUAUUUGUCCCCACUCAUGUAUGCUGUCGUGUUACUAGUAAAUCACCUCUAGGAUACAACAAGACCGCCGAAGGACUGCAAACAAUACUUUUGAAGAUUUUUCCCGCGCCCCAGCCCACCUCGCGCCCCGCCCGCCCCGUGUCCCCGCGCCCACGCCCGCCCGCCCCGCGCCCCUGCCCACCUCCCGCCACGUGGCGCGACAGGGAACCUCUGGUUCCCAAUUCAUAAGUUUAUAAAUAAACUAGUUAAGGGACCACGCGAUGCUGCGGAUAGUUAUUUGAAAAUUCAAUCUCAAAAAUUAGUUAUAAAAAUCAAUUUCAGAACAAUUAUGAAAUCUAAUGAACAAAUUACGAAACAAUUUUAAAUAAAUGGAGCUAUCAUUCCUAAUAUAAAAAAUAUAAGGAGCUCUCUCAAUAAUAAACUAUUUUGAAAUAGUUCUUCAACUUUAUUAAAUAUUUUCUCAUCUUGUUCUCUUUUGUUUGCUUUGAUAUUACUAAUUUUGUAAGGCUAUCUAUCAUAUUUCUAAUCUUUUGAGGGUACGAAUGAAAUUACCCUAUACUAAUUAUUCCAAACAUGACCACGUGUCUAAGGGAUUGAAAAAUAAUAAAUGGUGCAAUAAGUACAAAAAAAAUUUUUAGUAGGCAUAGUAGUCCCCCAUUAGUUAGUGAAAUAAUUUUUAGUAGCUAUCGUGGUCCCCCAAUAGUUAGUGAAAUGAAAAGAGAAAUUUUUAUUUGUGAUUCUCGCAAUUAACUUUCGUCAAAUAUAAAAUUAACUUAAACUCCAUAAUUUUUUUUUUAUUUUUUAAUAUACAAUUUAUAUCUUAAUGCUCAAUUUAUAAAAUUAAUAUUUAUAUUUAAUACCAACAAUCUAAAUUAUUUAAUAAUUAUUUAUAUAUUUUAUAUUUUAUAAUAAAAAAAAACAAAGUAGAUUGAAAUUUAAGAGAGAAAAAAAAAAUNNNNNNNNNNNNNNNNNNNNNNNNNNNNNNNNNNNNNNNNNNNNNNNNNNNNNNNNNNNNNNNNNNNNNNNNNNNNNNNNNNNNNNNNNNNNNNNNNNNNNNNNNNNNNNNNNNNNNNNNNNNNNNNNNNNNNNNNNNNNNNNNNNNNNNNNNNNNNNNNNNNNNNNNNNNNNNNNNNNNNNNNNNNNNNNNNNNNNNNNNNNNNNNNNNNNNNNNNNNNNNNNNNNNNNNNNNNNNNNNNNNNNNNNNNNNNNNNNNNNNNNNNNNNNNNNNNNNNNNNNNNNNNNNNNNNNNNNNNNNNNNNNNNNNNNNNNNNNNNNNNNNNNNNNNNNNNNNNNNNNNNNNNNNNNNNNNNNNNNNNNNNNNNNNNNNNNNNNNNNNNNNNNNNNNNNNNNNNNNNNNNNNNNNNNNNNNNNNNNNNNNNNNNNNNNNNNNNNNNNNNNNNNNNNNNNNNNNNNNNNNNNNNNNNNNNNNNNNNNNNNNNNNNNNNNNNNNNNNNNNNNNNNNNNNNNNNNNNNNNNNNNNNNNNUUUAAGAAUUUGAUUUGUUAAGAAUAUAAUAUACUAAUUAUCAUAGUUUAAUAAAUAAAUUAUUAUUUAAAGGGGAGAAUAAAGAACAAGAGUUGCUAUUCCAUAAGGUAGAAAGAAUAGUAGUUCUCUUCUCUUAACGGGUUAUUCUAGAAUAACCCGUUAAGAGAGGAAUAACCAUUUUUAGCUUGUUUGGUAGAAUAAGGGGGAUAAACUCCUUUAUUCCAUGUUUAUCCCCUCAUCAAACGGUACACGCGGCGCCCAUCCGCACCCUCAAAAAAAAAAAAAUGGUGGGCUCGGAUUUUAGGAUGAGAGAGAAAGAGAGGGGGAAGGGGGGGUGCGGAUGGGCGCAAACAAAUUGUUUGGGCACGGUGCCCAUGCCCAAACAAAUUGUUUAGGCACGGUGCCCAUAAAAUUUGUCCAUUUGGAGCGGGGGCGCCCUCGCGAGUGUCCGUGCCCGCCCUCGCCCCGCGNCCGUGCCCAAACAAAUUGUUUAGGCACGGUGCCCAUAAAAUUUGUCCAUUUGGAGCGGGGGCGCCCUCGCGAGUGUCCGUGCCCGCCCUCGCCCCGCGCACGCGCCACGCGCACGCCCCCGCCCCCGCUCGCGCCCACGCUUCCGCCCUCGCGCCACGUAUGCAGUUAUUGAGGAAUAAUAUAGAUUUACUAGUUCAGGGACCCGCGCGAUGCUGCGUGCAGUUAUUUUAAAAUUUAAUUUUGAAAAUUAGUUAUAAAAAUUAAUUUCAGAAUUUAAAUGGUGCAAUAAGUAUAUCAAAAAAUUUUAGUAGGCAUNUAAAGCUGCAUUGAUUUGAUUGUCGUAUUGCAAAUUAUUGAUUUGCAAUUAACUUCAAUAUAAUCAGAAUUUUCAGAUCAAAUUAUUGAACUAUGUAAUGUCGCCCCAAAUAAAUGAGGAUAGAUGCUUAUAGUCCAGAUUACUGAAAUUCAGAAAAGUUAACUGGUUUAGUUGCUUAGAAGUAACGCACCAUUUAUCUUUCUACUCACCUUUUUCGGCUGAAACCCGAACCAUCGGAUUGAAAUCUUUUAGAGACUCACAGCAGACGUCUGCUAGCGAUCUGCCACCGUUUAUGUUCUCAGGAAGAAUAAGAAAGUUCGCAUUACAAGCAUCCUCUGUAACAGGACGAGGAUCCACCAAUGUCAAACUCCCAACUCCUGCCAGAACAAUGUUCUUGCAAAGCUACAACAGAAGAAGGAAACAAAUAAGCCACUUUUGAAGAAUGCUUCCUACUAAAUUUAGAUCAGCGACAUUCCAUUUUGGCAUCAAAUCAGACUAUUUAUAACUUAUUACUAGAUCUCAAUUAGUAGCAUAAUAAAUAAAAUUGCUGCCAAAUGGUAGAACACAUAUAUUUUGAUCAACAAGGAAAGAAAAAAGAAAGAAGAAAAAGCAAUUAGCUAAUGGAUAAAAUCUCAACCAAGCAAAUCAAACAUUUGUGCCUGUUUGCUUGGGUUGUAGUAGAACAGCGUCUCUACUGUUUGCCUGUUUGGCUAUCAAAAGCCAAAAGCUAUGGUUGUGGCAGCAAGUUAAACUGAACUUCUAGGACCCAAAAACCAAUAGACAAGUUCUGCGAACUUUAAUAAAAAAAAUUGUUAGCACUUCUUUAAAAAGCACUAUGCCAAAAGCUUCACCCUGGCCAAACAGGCCCUUAAACGAGAUAAAAUAGUAGUUAUCAAAAGUAACAAAUAUUCAUCAAAUUAUAAAAUCACUGCUCCAUAGUAAUCUAUCAAUUCAUUCCCAGAACCAAUGAAAUAUUUUCAAUUAAGUUAAUCGGACAGCGCAAUCAAUUUGUGAAAUCAAAUUGUAUGUCGGUAAUACAUUUAACCUACUAUACUGCAUUGAGUUGAAACAAUAUACUUAGCAAGCUACUUAAAUGCACCACCAAGCUUCUUAGUAAGGAUAAAUACAAACUUUACACGCCAAAGAAGAGUUUUUAACAACAAGUAGUUCAAAAUAUUAACAAAAGGUAAACUACCUCAGCAGUUGCACCACUCAAACCGCUAAUCAGUACGUGAGCCCUGCUUAAUCUACACAAAACAAACAAAAUAUACUCAAAACACUUCAAAUCGAAAGAAAAAGAGUUCAAAGAGAUGGGCGCACUACCUCUUCUGCGCAUCGACGCCCCACACUCGGAUCUGGCGAUCGUAGAGGGCCGUUUCUUGCGCCGUGAGCUCCUCCUCGUCCAUGUCGAUCCGCAACCUGCAAGGAGAUGGGGCGAAUUGGUGGAGGGGGUGGGGAAUUUGAAACCCUAGGAAAGGGUAGAAGGGAGGAGGGAGGAGGAGAAAGCUAGGGUUUUGGAGAGAGCAUGAAGGGGUAGAAGAGAGAGAUUGGGGGUUCUCUCUUUUCCCUCGCUCUCGCACUUUGAGAUGACCAACCACUUCCGGUGAGGUUACCCCCGCGAGGGUUGACUAGUCUACGGUCAAUCUCCACCGUAUAUUAACGAACGGUGUUGAUUGAACGUUGGAAACGAGUCCCGACUCCGCAUGCGGCAUGCGACACUAGUAUAUGCUUCUAGGCGCGUAAAAAAUUGUUGCGUGGACCUGGUCUAUAGACCGUAGUCUCCAAAACCGCAUUAAACGUGUCGCAUUAUCUCGUAAUAAUAUAUAUAAAUAAAUAAAUAAUAUAUAUAUAUAUAUAUAUAUAUAUAUAUAUAUAAUUUUAAUAUAUUUUUAUUGUUUUAAAAGAAAUUUUUGGUAUAAAUUAUAUGAAAUAGAUGAAACAAAAAAAAAAGUCUUGACAGAAGAGGGUUAGGUGCAUUAACUUGAAACUUUGAGGGAUAAAAUAUAAAUUUUUGAAAAAUCAAAAUGCAUGUUUAUAUGUUUGGAAAUCUUUGGCUUUCACACUUUUUUACAACUGGCUCUCUCUCUCUCCUCCCUGUUCUUCCACGGCUAUCUCUCUCUUCAACUACCGCAGUCUCUCUCUCUCUCUCUCUCUCUCUCUCCCAUCUGGCGCUGCUCCUCUCUCUCUCUCUCUCUGACCCUCUCUUUCUCUCUCUUCCCCUCUCUCUCUUACUCUCUCUCUCUCUUUCUUUCUUUCUCUCUCUUUCUUUCUCUAUUUCUCUCUCUUCCUCUCUCUCUAUUUCUCUCUUUCUCUCUCUUAUUUAUUCAUUAAUUUGAAAUAAGUUCAACUUCAGUUUUUUUAAUUAAAAAAAUUUACUUACAGAAUGACCAUAUAUAAAUUUUAGUAAAGUUUUAAAUAAAAGUAUUAAAAUAAUUCAACUCUAUAAAUAUUAAAACUUAAAAAAAUAUUAAUUAAAAAAAUAUUUUUUUAAUGUAUAUAAGACUAUUUUAUAAUUUUUCUUACAUUUUUUAUAUAUUGUUUAUUUUUAAAUUUUUAAUAAUUGUAUAUUUUAAUUAGUUGAAAUAUUAUAUACCCGUCGCAAAGCACGGGUCACCAUUGUAUUGUGCGUUCUGAAGUUGUAUUAAAACUUUCUACUAUCAGUUUAUUAAUACUAUAUUUUACCAUAAAUUUUUGUCUUACUAUCGGUUUAUUUAAAUUAAUUAGCACAAUCUACUAAUCCGCAGCGAAGCGCGGAUCUAGACUAGUAUAUACAAUCUUGAGUUCUACUGUGGCCGACAUGUCGUCUUUUCCGCGCUCGCCAGGAAGAGAGGAAAAGAAAAAGGGAGAGAAAGAGAGAGAGGGGGGGCCUGCGUGCAGGCGACCCGCGCCCGCAGCACGCACGAGAGAGAGAGAGGGAGAGAGAGGAGGAGAGAGAGAGAGAGUGAGCAGAGAGAGAGAGAGAGAGAGCAGACAGAGUCUCUCUCUCUCUCAGCGCGCGCGGGGGNGUUGUCAUAAAAAGAUAUUAAAAAAACUUAAUAUGUAAAAAUUAAUAUUAUAUAUUAUAUAAAAGAUGUAAUUAAAAGAUAAAAUUAAAAUCCGUGCAUUGCACGGGUUAGUUGCUAGUAUAUAGUUAAGAUUAAGAUUAUAGAUUAUAUAUUAUAGAUAGAUUAUAGAUUUAUAGAUUUAUAGAUGGUUGACAACCUCACCUCCAACUGCAAGAUACGUCUCUCGAACUCGUGGUGUGAGCGACGCCGUUCCCCCUCACCUCCUCCGCUCCACAACUUGUCGACGCCGACCUCUCGUUGACGGGCCGGAGUUUCCGUUGCCAGGGCGGGGCUCCCGCCUUCAGAUCCGCCCCGUUUUGCAUCCCUAUCAGCGGAUCGUUCGACCGAACAUGAUCUACGGUGGUUUUCUCUUCGUCAUGAUCGCGUUUCUAACCCUAAUUUGGGGGCCUCAUUACUCUUCCUCUUCGGAUCAGGUGUGCGUGUUCUCUUUCCUAAAUUUUCGAGUGCCCUCUUAAUGUUUUCUCAUUUUGUAAAUUGAUGAGCAUGCCCAAUUUUUAUUCAUUGAUUUGCACAUUGGGUCCUCGAUUGUCUAAUUUUUUUUGUUUUGGAAAAAAAAAUUCGCAUUCUUUCUUUUGGAGGAUUGAUGUUAAAUUGACAGCAAUGGUAAAGAUUUUGCAAUUUUUUAGUACCUCUCAUCAUUUAGAUAGUUGCGAGUAUACUAGGGCAGUUUGUUAGUGUGCACCCUCCAAAUUUAAUUUCCUCCCAUAUGAGAGAUCUGAAUUUAAUUUUUCUCGUCGAGGUCUUGGAUCCAAGAAAGUUCUAGAGGGCUAUGUCAGCUUAUGAGAAAAGAUUUGUUUAGCUUAAUCCUAAGCUUUUGAUUCAUUGGAAAAUUUAUGCAUUCCAACAAAGAGAAAACAACACCAUAUUGUGUUAACUUAUUGGUCAUUUUUCUCCUUUUAUAAACUUUCUUAUUUACUCUUGCAUAUAGUAUUUUAAAAGGAGGUCCGCGCAAACAAAUGCUGAGGCCUUCUGGAGCCUAGGCGUGAGGCCUACCGUGAGGGCGUGCCUCAAGAGAGUGAGAUGCACAUUUAACAAAAUAUAAAUACUCUUCACAAGCNGGGAUGACGAUCACGGUAACUAACCUCUCCGUGCACGUUACGAAAAACAAUGCGACGUUAUACUAUAUCAUUUAUAAGAGUAGAUGAGAAUAGUAUAUAUGAUGUAAAAUAACUCGUAAAAAUUAUUUGAUUAUAAUAUAAUUUCAAUCAUGCACUUUCUACUUAUAUCUCUAUCUAUUAUAAAGAAUCGGUAUAACAAUUAUUAAUUUUUUUAUUUUUAUAAAUAAUAAAUACAAUAAUGCAGUCAGGUUACGGCAUAUGGUCACCAAAACACUAAUAAUUUAGUCGCAAUUCAUAAAAUUUAGGGUGGCUUUUAUCACGAUGAUAGUAUUUCUCAAAUUUUUAUGUAGAAUUGGAGAUAAUAUCAAUGCUUCCACUAUAACAUCUCUCUCUCCUUUUCUUUUCUUUUCUUUUUUUUUUGUUUCUACUGAACAUUGAUCAGGGUCAAACAGUUACACCGUACCAGUUGAAGAAAAAGAAACUCUAUCCUUUAAUCUAUGCUGGGGAUGCUGUGGUUCCUGGGACUCCCACCAAUGUUUCAGGGUAUAGAUUAUCUUUCAACUUAAUCCAUAAUAAAAGUUUAAUACUUUAGAUAGAGAUUACAGGAAGGGUUUAAUUGAAAUGCCAAAGAGGUGGUAGGAAUCAAACUCUGCAUGCUAAAUUUUGUAAUUUAAUCCUUGCAAAAACACUAUAUAUUCAAUCAUGUAACAUUCUUUUCAGACAAAAAAAAAAUUGUAGCUAGCACUGCAACAUGUUUAGCUACUAGUAUAUAUAUAUAUGGUGUGUUGCUUCUCUUCUCCAUCUCUUCUCCACCCCGAGGCGACCAACAAAGGCGGAGCGACCAGAGAGGCGAAGGAGGAAGAAGAGCGACUAGAGAUUGGGAAGAAAAAGGCAAAAUCCAACAUAAUCUAGCAUCAACCAAGGGCAAAUAGAGUAAAUAAACAUUGGAUUAACGAUUCGGGCAAUGGAUAGGAGUGGAACGGACACCAUGCGGAUUGGAUCCAACCGUCAGAAGUAACCAAGGGUGUUGACCGGAAAGGCCGAGGAGAGGCCCAAUCCACUCCCGAAAUUGGCCUAUAUCAGCCCAUAUAAUAUUAGUAUUUACAAUUGCAAUGUACUACCUUAUUUUCUUGCAGUUUAAAUAUAUGUAAUAAGGGGAUAUAAGGAGGAUUGUAUGAGGAAAUAGAAAAGAAAUGAAAUAGUAUCUUCUUCCCCAAUUCGCCUUUUUACCUAUCUCAAUUCCCCAAUUCUCAUAUCUGUCUCAAUUCCUUAUCCCUCUCUACCUCUAUCUCUAUCUCUAUGUCUCCUUCUCUUACCUCCUUUAGCCUCAAUUACCUCGGAAUUGCGACCGUGAGCCAUCAUCAUCCUCGUCGCCGUCCUCACCUCAGAGAAUUCUCAUCCUUGGCUGGUUGCGACAAGUCUGGGAUAUUACAAAUUCAACUUCGGCUUCUUCUUCCUCCUCUCCUCUCCUUUCCUUUCCUAUGAUUUGUUGUUAAUCCAUGAGGCCUCUCCCUCUCAAACUCCUCUCUCUCCUCCUCUUCCUCCUCGUCCUCAUCCUCUUCUUUUCUCCCUCGCCUCUUGCCCUAAUUCGCUCCUCGGCCCCUCACAAGCUCCCCUUCCGCUCCUCCGACCUCCUCCCUCUCCUCCCAUGGCGCCUCGCGCAGCCGAUCUUGAAAUCUCUCCGCAGGGCCGUCGACCUCCUCACCUUCGUCGGCACCGCCUCGUCCCCCGGCGACUCCAUCGAGUGGAAGGGCGCGUGCUUCUACGAGAACAAGG
rnacentral:lncRNA from 1 species